AAGUCGUAACAAGGUCUCCGUAGGUGAACCUGCGGAGGGAUCAUUAUCGAGUUCUGGUUUCGAAUCGAAACCGACCUCCAACCCUAUGUUGUCAAGACCAUGUUGCCUCGGGGAGUCCGUCUCCUUUCUAGGAGAACUGAGCCCCGGUGGACCACUAUAACUCUGUUUUAUUUGAAGUCUGAGAACAAAAGUAAUUCAAUUACACAAAACUUUCAACAACGGAUCUCUUGGUUCUGGCAUCGAUGAAGAACGCAGCGAAAUGCGAUAAGUAAUGUGAAUUGCAGAAUUCAGUGAAUCAUCGAAUCUUUGAACGCACAUUGCGCCCUCUGGUAUUCCGGGGGGCAUGCCUGUUCGAGCGUCAUUACACCUCUCAAGCCUCGCUUGGUAUUGGAGGCCUGCGAUCUUGUGUUGAACGAGAUUGCACCUCUUGAAGUCUUCUCGGCUGGUAAUUUCUUACCCUCUGCGUUGUGGAAACCAUUCGCUGAUGGGUGUGGGAUCGAUCAAUCGCCGUUAAACAAAACAACCAUCAAAAGGUUGACCUCGAAUCAGGUAGGGAUACCCGCUGAACUUAA
rnacentral:rRNA from 1 species